rnacentral:rRNA from 1 species
CAGCCGCCGCGGUAAUACGGAGGGUGCAAGCGUUAAUCGGAAUUACUGGGCGUAAAGCGCACGCAGGCGGUUUGACAAGUCAGAUGUGAAAUCCCCGGGCUUAACCUGGGAACUGCAUUUGAAACUGUCAGGCUGGAGUCUUGUAGAGGGGGGUGGAAUUCCAGGUGUAGCGGUGAAAUGCGUAGAGAUCUGGAGGAAUACCGGUGGCGAAGGCGGCCCCCUGGACAAAGACUGACGCUCAGGUGCGAAAGCGUGGGGAGCAAACAGGAUUAGAUACCGUGUAGUCCCUGUCUCUUAUACA